rnacentral:rRNA from 1 species
AAAUUGAACUCGCUGUGAAGAUGCAGUGUACCCGCGGCAAGACGGAAAGACCCCGUGAACCUUUACUAUAGCUUGACACUGAACAUUGAGCCUUGAUGUGUAGGAUAGGUGGGAGGCUUUGAAGCGUGGACGCCAGUCUGCGUGGAGCCGACCUUGAAAUACCACCCUUUAAUGUUUGAUGUUCUAACGUGGACCCGUUACCCGGGUUGCGGACAGUGUCUGGUGGGUAGUUUGACUGGGGCGGUCUCCUCCUAAAGAGUAACGGAGGAGCACGAAGGUUGGCUAAUCCUGGUCGGACAUCAGGAGGUUAGUGCAAUGGCAUAAGCCAGCUUGACUGCGAGCGUGACGGCGCGAGCAGGUGCGAAAGCAGGUCAUAGUGAUCCGGUGGUUCUGAAUGGAAGGGCCAUCGCUCAACGGAUAAAAGGUACUCCGGGGAUAACAGGCUGAUACCGCCCAAGAGUUCAUAUCGACGGCGGUGUUUGGCACCUCGAUGUCGGCUCAUCACAUCCUGGGGCUGAAGUAGGUCCCAAGGGUAUGGCUGUUCGCCAUUUAAAGUGGUACGCGAGCUGGGUUUAGAACGUCGUGAGACAGUUCGGUCCCUAUCUGCCGUGGGCGCUGGAGAACUGAGGGGGGCUGCUCCUAGUACGAGAGGACCGGAGUGGACGCAUCACUGGUGUUCGGGUUGUCAUGCCAAUGGCACUGCCCGGUAGCUAAAUGCGGAAGAGAUAAGUGCUGAAAGCAUCUAAGCACGAAACUUGCCCCGAGAUGAGUUCUCCCUGAGACUUAGAGUCUCCUGAAGGAACGUUGAAGACGACGACGUUGAUAGGCCGGGUGUGUAAGCGCAGCGAUGCGUUGAGCUAACCGGUACUAAUGAACCGUGAGGCUUAACCUU